rnacentral:rRNA from 1 species
CUACCCUUAAGUUGGGGAUAACUAGUCGAAAGAUUAGCUAAUACCGAAUAAUAACAUCAAUAUCGCAUGAGAAGAUGUAGAAAGUGCUCUUUGUGGCGACGCUUUUGGAUGAGGGUGCGACGUAUCAGAUAGUUGGUGAGGUAAUGGCUCACCAAGUCAAUGACGCGUAGCUGUACUGAGAGGUAGAACAGCCACAAUGGGACUGAGACACGGCCCAUACUCCUACGGGAGGCAGCAGAC